rnacentral:rRNA from 1 species
AUUGAACGCUGGCGGCAUGCCUUACACAUGCAAGUCGAACGAAGGCUUCGGCCUUAGUGGCGCACGGGUGAGUAACGCGUGGGAAACUGCCUAUUGGUGGGGAAUAACGACGGGAAACUGUCGCUAAUACCGCAUAAGCCCUUCGGGGGAAAGAUUUAUCGCCGAUAGAUGUGCCCGCGUCCGAUUAGCUAGUUGGUGAGGUAAUGGCUCACCAAGGCGACGAUCGGUAGCUGGUCUGAGAGGAUGAUCAGCCACACUGGGACUGAGACACGGCCCAGACUCCUACGGGAGGCAGCAGUGGGGAAUAUUGGACAAUGGGCGAAAGCCUGAUCCAGCAAUGCCGCGUGAGUGAUGAAGGCCUUAGGGUUGUAAAGCUCUUUCGGGUGGGACGAUGAUGACGGUACCACCAGAAGAAGCCCCGGCUAACUUCGUGCCAGCCGCCGCCGUAA